ensembl:lncRNA LOC120097742 uncharacterized LOC120097742
CCCACUGCCAAAACAUUUCCCAGCAACGCGUCAGCCUGCCUUUGGACACGUUCCUUACUAAAACAAAUAGGUCUAACAAAUCGUCUUUGAUAGCAAAUGCUCAUAAAGACAAACAAUGAAAACUACUAUGUUGUGUGUCUUAGGGCGGCCGGCACUGUGUGGAAUUGCCACACACAGAAACAAAACAAUCGAGCUCACCAGGCCGGCUCCCAGAAGUCAGCAGCUCAUGGCGACUUGCUCCUUCUGGAAGUCGUUCAAGGAAGGUGUUGAAUUAGAAGAAUCUCGUUAUGAACAUUCUGCUGUAAAGCCUCCUAAGCAGGAACUCGCAGCCACCCAGGUGUUUGCCCACCCCCAUCCCCACCGCGUACCUCCUCCUCCUGGUGAAAAGUCACACUGAUGACAAACUCUACGUGCUGCCUGAUGGGCUUUGACCCUGGGAUAUCCUCCCCUCCCGCGGUCUUCAGGAGAGGAAAAAAGGGCCAAAUGGAGAACUGAGGGAAUUCUCUAAAUAGUUGAAAGACACAUCCAAACGGACUUUGCCCUACUCAUCUGUCGUGGUAGCCUCCCAUACACGCUGCUGGGACAGUUGUCGACGGCCCACUUCGUCUUCCAGCGGGGUAAGCCAACUAUACUGACCCCAGCCCCCUGGGGAGCCGUGUAGGGUUGUAUGUCUCGGGUACAACUAGUUCUGACCCCCUCGAUGCACACGCAUGGGCUUCCAAGGCUAAAUUCCGAACGAAGAGAAUAAAACUGCCGCAAAUGGGAGGAGGACUCAUAGGCUUGGACUGAGUGGGCCCUGGAGGGUUCCACUCAGGGAACACGAGUCGAUCUGCUUCAUACCCCGAGGGAGUAAAUUUCUGAACUAGCCUCUCCAUCCAAUCCUUACUCCCUUAACUAGAAGUCGGAAAAUAGCUUUUCCAGGUUCUGGUGACCUGCCUCGGUGUUGCUGGCCCUUGGCCCCACUCCCCAUUCCUGUGGUGUCACCACGUCCCCAAUCCCGCGUUCCAGGAGCUCUGCCACAUCCCGCUUCCCGGUGCUUUUGUGCAGGAGGGGCCCACAGAGGCCUCGUUCUUCUUUUUUUUUUUUUAAACCGUUACCAUGACGUCAUGCCUUUUUCUCAAAGCUAAGACCCCUCUCCUGUGCCUGGGGAAUUAUAACCUCUCCUGGAGGGUCAGAGAGGGGAACGGAGGUCGGCUGCGCCCAGCCACCACUCCACCAAACAUUCAUUACCGCUGUCGCCUGCGGGGACUUUCAAGCUGCAAGUACCUAAGGCGUCAAAAAGGAUGCCCGAGGGGUCCUGCGGUAUUUGUCCCAAUCAAGUCACGGGUAGUAGCGGGGAGGGCAGAGUGGAACAACAGAAGGGGGCAUCCGAAACUUCAGCACGAAAAUUAAAACUUUAGCUUGUACCCCCCCCCCCCCAAGACUGCAUCUUCAUGUUCAAACAACAGCCAGUAACAACAAUAAUAAAACAGUGAGUGCUUGAAAUACAAUCAAACUGUUCACUGGAGGUUUGCUUCCGAGUAAGCAUAUAAAAACCAAAUGCAAAUAUCUUUUCCUGGCGAUUAUCCAGAACCCAACCAUGGAAAGUUGAUCUCUGUAAAACUGAACACCACCACCACCCCCUCCUCGUGCCAAAUAAGAAUUUCACAAUGGCCAAUUUUCUAUCCAAAGCCGGGAGGGCAACAGAAAACACCACUGCUGUUCGAUUUGUUAUUUGCAGAACAAACUGUUUACACUUCUAUGGGCUGGGGGUUGGGGAGCAACUGGGGACUGGAGGAGGGCAGUCCAACACAUUGUCUCUUACAGAACCCGGCCCGCUGGAAUGUGGAAACCCUACAAUCAGAAAACAAACAAGUUGCUAAAAGCUGCGUGUGAAGU